UACAGAGGGUGUAAGCGUUAAUCGGAAUUACUGGGCGUAAAGCGUGCGUAGUCGGUUAUUUAAGUCGGGUGUGAAAGCCCCGGGCUCAACCUGGGAAUUGCAUUCGAUACUGGAUAGCUAGAGUUCGGCAGAGGGAAGCGGAAUUUCCGGUGUAGCGGUGAAAUGCGUAGAUAUCGGAAGGAACAUCAGUGGCGAAAGCGGCUUCCUGGACCAGAACUGACGAUCAGGCACGAAAGCGUGGGGAGCAAACAGG
rnacentral:rRNA from 1 species